AAAGCAUUUUCAAAAAAUUCGUAUACAUAUAAAAUAGACCGAUACUUACAUUUAUGGUCAUAUAACCAUGCUUGCUUCGAGAGGAGUCCGUACUUCCACUCCUCCUUGGGGAAAUUGUCAAAAAGUUCCAUCAUUUCCAUUUCUCUUUCUUCAGAAAUGUCUCCAAAGUCAGCAGAGAUCUUCUCGUCAGUGGCCCAGUUCGGUAGGGAAGAGAUUUCGG
rnacentral:lncRNA from 1 species